GGACAACCUGCCCUUAGGUUGGGUAUAAACCCGGGAAACUGGGUAUAAUACCCGAUAGGUCUCGAUUGCUGGAAUGCAUCGAGAUUUAAAGCUCCGGCGCCUAAGGAUGGGUCUGCGGCCUAUCAGGUAGUAGUGGGUGUAGCGUACCUACUAGCCUACGACGGGUACGGGUUGUGAGAGCAAGAGCCCGGAGAUGGAUUCUGAGACACGAAUCCAGGCCCUACGGGGUGCAGCAGGCGCGAAAACUUUACAAUGCUGGCAACAGCGAUAAGGGAACCUCGAGUGCCAGGUUACAAAUCUGGCUGUCGAGAUGCCUAAAAAGCAUUUCAUAGCAAGGGCCGGGCAAGACCGGUGCCAGCCGCCGCGGUAACACCGGCGGCUCGAGUGGUAACCGUUAUUAUUGGGUCUAAAGGGUCUGUAGCCGGCCGGAUAAGUCUCUUGAGAAAUCUGGCAGCUUAACUGUCAGGCUUUCAGGAGAUACUGUCUGGCUCGAGGCCGGGAGAGGUGAGAGGUACUUCAGGGGUAGGGGUGAAAUCUUGUAAUCCUUGAAGGACCACCAGUGGCGAAGGCGUCUCACCAGAACGGACCUGACGGCAAGGGACGAAAGCUAGGGGCACGAACCGGAUUAGAUACCCGGGUAGUCCUAGCCGUAAACGAUACUCGCUAGGUGUCGGCCACGGUGCGACCGUUGUCGGUGCCGUAGGGAAGCCGUGAAGCGAGCCACCUGGGAAGUAUGGCCGCAAGGCUGAAACUUAA
rnacentral:rRNA from 1 species